rnacentral:rRNA from 1 species
ACACUCCUGCGGGAGGCAGCAGUGGGGAAUUUUGGACAAUGGGCGAAAGCCUGAUCCAGCCAUGCCGCGUGCAGGAUGAAGGCCUUCGGGUUGUAAACUGCUUUUGUACGGAACGAAACGGCCUUUUCUAAUAAAGAGGGCUAAUGACGGUACCGUAAGAAUAAGCACCGGCUAACUACGUGCCAGCAGCCGCGGUAAUACGUAGGGUGCAAGCGUUAAUCGGAAUUACUGGGCGUAAAGCGUGCGCAGGCGGUUAUGUAAGACAGUUGUGAAAUCCCCGGGCUCAACCUGGGAACUGCAUCUGUGACUGCAUAGCUAGAGUACGGUAGAGGGGGAUGGAAUUCCGCGUGUAGCAGUGAAAUGCGUAGAUAUGCGGAGGAACACCGAUGGCGAAGGCAAUCCCCUGGACCUGUACUGACGCUCAUGCACGAAAGCGUGGGGAGCAAACAGGAUUAGAUACCCUGGUAGUCCCAUG